GCCACCCUAGCUCAAGCGGCAGAGCAACCGCCUCGUAAGCGGUCGGUUGUCGGUUCGAGUCCGACGGGUGGCU
rnacentral:tRNA from 4 species